rnacentral:tRNA from 1 species
GCGGGCAUGGUGUAGUGGUAACACAACAGCCUUCCAAGCUGUUGUCACGGGUUCGAGUCCCGUUGCCCGCUCCA